GAUGAACGCUGGCGGCGUGCCUAACACAUGCAAGUCGAGCGGCAGCGAGGGGUGCUUGCACCCUGUCGGCGAGCGGCGGACGGCUGAGUAGCGCGUGGGAACGUGCCCCAAAGUGAGGAAUAACUGCCCGAAAGGGUAGCUAAUACCGCAUAUUAUCUUCGGAUCAAAGGAUUAUCCGCUUUGGGAGCGGCUCGCGUCGGAUUAGGUAGUUAGUGAGGUAAUGGCUCACCAAGCCGACGAUCCGUAGCUGGUCUGAGAGGAUGACCAGCCAGACUGGAACUGAGACACGGUCCAGACUCCUACGGGAGGCAGCAGUGAGGAAUCUUCCACAAUGGGCGAAAGCCUGAUGGAGCAACGCCGCGUGCAGGACGAAGGCAUUCGGGUUGUAAACUGCUUUUAUAAGUGAGGAAUAUGACGGUAACUUAUGAAUAAGGAUCGGCUAACUACGUG
rnacentral:rRNA from 1 species